rnacentral:rRNA from 1 species
AUACGUAGGGAGCGAGCGUUAUCCGGAAUUACUGGGCGUAAAGGGCGCGUAGGCGGCGCUUCAAGUCGUCUGUCAAAUGGAAGGGCUUAACCCUUUUUCGCAGACGAAACUGGAGAGCUUGAGAAGCAGAGAGGCACACAGAAUUCCUGGUGUAGCGGUGAAAUGCGUAGAUAUCAGGAAGAAUACCAGUGGCGAAGGCGGUUUGCUGGCUGCAUACUGACGCUGAAGCGCGAAAGCCAGGGGAGCGAACGGGAUUAGAUACCCCGGUAGUCCUGGCAGUAAACGAUGUAUGCUGGGUGUGAGACUAGCGAUAGUUUCGUGCCGAAGUUAACGCGAUAAGCAUACCGCCUGGGGAGUACGGUCGCAAGGUUGAAACUCAAAUGAAUUGACGGGG